ensembl:snoRNA
AUCCUUUUGUGACUCAUAGUGUAAUAAUUAGGUGGGGACAUGUGCCUCCCUUGAAUCUUAUUACAUCAGUACAUUACCUGUCUGAUG